rnacentral:rRNA from 2 species
UGAGGAAUAUUGCUCAAUGGGCGCAAGCCUGAAGCAGCGACGCCGCGUGGAUGAAGAAGGUUUUCGGACUGUAAAAUCCUUUUCUGUGUGACGAGAGUGGACGGUAGCACAGGAAUAAGUCUCGGCUAACUACGUG